rnacentral:lncRNA from 1 species
CAAUAUAUUCUGUCAUGUGGGGCCUACAGGUGUCUGGUUGCUUGUUUUCUGUGUUUAUGCAGAAAAGUAUAGAUGUUCUUGGUGAGGACGUGGUACUUAUCAUCGAUCACAGUUAUUUUAGAGGUUUGUUUUUGGCUUCCAAUAAUUAUAAACUGGAAUAAAAAAAAAGGGAUUAGAAUAUAUAAUUUUUUAGUUUGGGAUUUUGCUUACUGUUUUGUGGGAUUUUGCCAGGAGAAAAUAAACCACUAGACAUGGGAGCAUGGAAUUUAAGGUUUGAUUUUGCUUCGAAUUUUAAAGUCGUUUUACUCUUAUAAUUCAUAUCAUUAGUCGUCAUGUUUAUCCACGUGUACGAGUGGAAUUUGUCUAUUUCAGGAGAGAUUGAGGAAAAAAAAAUAAAAAUAAAAAGUUUGAUAUUCAAAUGUAUUGAGAGGUUGAGGUCUUCAUUCUUACAAAUCCCAAUGUAUUGAGAGGGGUGAAUGGAGAGAUGUUUGAUGAAUUGGGAGAGAAAAAAAAUGAGAGGAAAGUGAUGGCCUACACUACCC